rnacentral:rRNA from 1 species
AACCAAGGCUAUACCACCCUGAACCUGCCCGAUCUCCUUGGAUCUUUGAAGUUAACUGGGUCGGUCCUGAUUAGUAUUGUAUGGGAGACAAUGUGCUUCUGAAAGUUCCACAGCUUGAAAACUGUAUGAAGGGGUUC